UGGUGGGUAGUUUGACUGGGGCGGUCUCCUCCCAAAGCGUAACGGAGGAGCACGAAGGUUAGCUAAUCCUGGUCGGACAUCAGGAGGUUAGUGCAAUGGCAUAAGCUAGCUUGACUGCGAGCGUGACGGCGCGAGCAGGUGCGAAAGCAGGUCAUAGUGAUCCGGUGGUUCUGAAUGGAAGGGCCAUCGCUCAACGGAUAAAAGGUACUCCGGGGAUAACAGGCUGAUACCGCCCAAGAGUUCAUAUCGACGGCGGUGUUUGGCACCUCGAUGUCGGCUCAUCACAUCCUGGGGCUGAAGUAGGUCCCAAGGGUAUGGCUGUUCGCCAUUUAAAGUGGUACGCGAGCUGGGUUUAGAACGUCGUGAGACAGUUCGGUCCCUAUCUGCCGUGGGCGCUGGAGAAUUGAGGGGGGCUGCUCCUAGUACGAGAGGACCGGAGUGGACGCAUCACUGGUGUUCGGGUUGUCAUGCCAAUGGCACUGCCCGGUAGCUAAAUGCGGAAGAGAUAAGUGCUGAAAGCA
rnacentral:rRNA from 1 species